UUUGGCAAAACUACAAAUCACCAGUUCUCUGGCUCCCAAUCAGCACCUAGGCCCAGUACCAUGAGAAGUUAUUUAGAAAACUCUGCUCACAUAUACAAAGUGUCCUUCUAACUCCAAAGGGUCAGCCAUGUUACCAGGUUAGUAUAGGUUUGGAUCUUACCCAAAAUACCAUGCU